AGAGUUUGAUCAUGGCUCAGAUUGAACGCUGGCGGAAUGCUUUACACAUGCAAGUCGAGCGGCAGCGCGGGGCAACCUGGCGGCGAGCGGCGAACGGGUGAGUAACAUAUCGGAACGUAUCCUUAAGUGGGGGACAACCUAGCGAAAGUUAGGCUAAUACCGCAUACGCAGGGAACUGGAAAGUGGGGGACCGCAAGGCCUCACGCUUUUGGAGCGGCCGAUAUCAGAUUAGCUUGUUGGUGAGGUAAAGGCUCACCAAGGCGACGAUCUGUAGCUGGUCUGAGAGGAUGAUCAGCCACACUGGGACUGAGACACGGCCCAGACUCCUACGGGAGGCAGCAGUGGGGAAUUUUGGACAAUGGGGGCAACCCUGAUCCAGCCAUUCCGCGUGAGUGAAGAAGGCCUUCGGGUUGUAAAGCUCUUUUGUUCGGGACGAAACGGUUUCACCUAAUACGUGAGACUACUGACGGUACCGGAAGAAUAAGCACCGGCUAACUACGUGCCAGCAGCCGCGGUAAUACGUAGGGUGCGAGCGUUAAUCGGAAUUACUGGGCGUAAAGCGUGCGCAGGCGGUUUUGUAAGCCAGAUGUGAAAUCCCCGGGCUCAACCUGGGAAUGGCAUUUGGGACUGCAAGGCUGGAGUAUGGCAGAGGAGACUAGAAUUCCUGGUAGCAGUGAAAUGCGUAGAUAUCAGGAGGAAUACCGAUGGCGAAGGCAGGUCUCUGGGCCAAUACUGACGCUCAUGCACGAAAGCGUGGGGAGCAAACAGGAUUAGAUACCCUAGUAGUCC
rnacentral:rRNA from 1 species